rnacentral:rRNA from 1 species
GAUGAACGCUGGCGGCGUGCCUAAUACAUGCGAGUCGAGCGAACAGACGAGGAGCUUGCUCCUUUGACGUUAGCGGCGGACGGGUGAGUAACACGUGGGUAACCUACCUAUAAGACUGGGAUAACUUCGGGAAACCGGAGCUAAUACCGGAUAAUAUUUCGAACCGCAUGGUUCGAUAGUGAAAGAUGGCUUUGCUAUCACUUAUAGAUGGACCUGCGCCGUAUUAGCUAGUUGGUAAGGUAACGGCUUACCAAGGCAACGAUACGUAGCCGACCUGAGAGGGUGAUCGGCCACACUGGAACUGAGACACGGUCCAGACUCCUACGGGAGGCAGCAGUAGGGAAUCUUCCGCAAUGGGCGAAAGCCUGACGGAGCAACGCCGCGUGAGUGAUGAAGGUCUUCGGAUCGUAAAACUCUGUUAUUAGGGAAGAACAAACGUGUAAGUAACUGUGCACGUCUUGACGGUACCUAAUCAGAAAGCCACGGCUAACUACAUG